rnacentral:rRNA from 1 species
UACAGAGGGGGCAAGCGUUAUUCGGAAUUAUUGGGCGUAAAGGGCGCGUAGGCGGCUUGGCAAGUGGAAGGUGAAAUCCCUCGGCUUAACCGAGGAACUGCCCUCCAAACUGCUUGGCUUGAGACCGGGAGAGGUGAGUGGAAUUCCCAGUGUAGCGGUGAAAUGCAUUGAGAUCGGAAAGAACACCAACGGCGAAAGCACUCUGCUGGGCCGACACUGACACUGAGAGACGAAAGCUAGGGGAGCAAAUGGG